UCCUCAUGUGUGUCUGCAGAUUACGUGACUGUGUAAAUGUUUUCUCACACACAAUGCACUGAUAAGGUUUGAUUCCACUGUGAAUCUUCAUGUGUGUCUUCAGAGUCCCUGAUUGUGUAAAUUUUCCCCCACAUUCAACACAUUCAUAAGGCUUGAUUCCACUGUGAAUCCUCAUGUGUGUCUGCAGAAUACUUGAAUGUGUAAAUGUU